rnacentral:rRNA from 1 species
CGGCGGACGGGUGGGUAAUGUAUGGGGAGUCGCUCGAUGGCGGGGGGUAACUACUGGAAACGGUAGCUAAUACCGCAUAAUGUCUACGGACCAAAGCGGGGGACCGUCCCGGGCCUCGCGCCAUCAGAUGAACCCAUAUGGGAUUAGCUAGUAGGUAAGGUAACGGCUUACCUAGGCGACGAUCCCUAGCUGGUCUGAGAGGAUGACCAGCCACACUGGAACUGAGACACGGUCCAG